UCAGGACACUUUUCAAAUAGAGCAGGUCUAGACCGAACUCUUUAACAUUAAUUACAGAGACCCAACAGUACCACCAUGAGCAAGCACUUGGCGACAAGGGCAAGGAAAAACUGCCUGUUAAAAGGCAGAAACCUAGGACAGAUCCUCCGGCUCUAGGUGGGUGGUCGUCUGUCUCGACCAGUUGGGAUGAGAGAGAGAGAGAGAGAGAGAGAGAGAGAGCGACAGACAGACAGACAGACGCACAGCAACAACAGUAUUGGCAAUGGCAGUCAAGCAGGACCAUGGCAGGAGGCUCCACCAGGAUCCAUGAGAACCUGCGAGACGAGAAAGCACAAGAACUCCAGGGAAGAAGUGGAGUUAGUAACAUGCAUUAAAGGGACAUGAAUGAGUGCAGAAAGAGAGAGGAAGAGAGUAGCUCAGUGCACCAUGGGAAAUCCCCCGAUAGUCUAGGCCUAUAGCAGCAUAACUAAGGGAUGGUUCAGGACUCACCUGAUCCAGCCCUAACUAUAAGCUUUAUCAAAGAGGAAUGUCUUAAGCCUACUCUUGAAUGUGGUGAGGGUGUCUGCCUCCCGAACCACAACUGGAAGCUGGUUCCACAGGAGAGGAGCUUGGUAACUGAAGGCUCUGGCUCCUGUUCUACUUUUAGAGACUAUAGGAACCACAAGUAGCCCAGCAUUCAGAGAACGUAGUGUUCUAGUGGGGUAAUAGGGUACUAUGAGCUCUUUAAGAUAUGAAGGGGCCUGACCAUGAAGAGCUUUAUAGGUGAGGAGGAGGAUUUUAAAUUCAAUUCUACAUUUUACAGGGAGCCAAUGCAGAGUAGCUAGUACAGGAG